rnacentral:rRNA from 1 species
AGCACAGGGGAGCUUGCUCCCUGGGUGACGAGCGGCGGACGGGUGAGUAAUGUCUGGGAAACUGCCUGAUGGAGGGGGAUAACUACUGGAAACGGUAGCUAAUACCGCAUAACGUCGCAAGACCAAAGAGGGGGACCUUCGGGCCUCUUGCCAUCAGAUGUGCCCAGAUGGGAUUAGCUAGUAGGUGGGGUAAUGGCUCACCUAGGCGACGAUCCCUAGCUGGUCUGAGAGGAUGACCAGCCACACUGGAACUGAGACACGGUCCAGACUCCUACGGGAGGCAGCAGUGGGGAAUAUUGCACAAUGGGCGCAAGCCUGAUGCAGCCAUGCCGCGUGUGUGAAGAAGGCCUUCGGGUUGUAAAGCACUUUCAGCGAGGAGGAAGGUGGGUGAGCUUAAAUACGUUCAUCAAUUGACGUUACUCGCAGAAGAAGCACCGGCUAACUCCGUGCCAGCAGCCGCGGUAAUACGGAGGGUGCAAGCGUUAAUCGGAAUUACUGGGCGUAAAGCGCACGCAGGCGGUUUGUUAAGUCAGAUGUGAAAUCCCCGGGCUCAACCUGGGAACUGCAUUUGAAACUGGCAAGCUAGAGUCUCGUAGAGGGGGGUAGAAUUCCAGGUGUAGCGGUGAAAUGCGUAGAGAUCUGGGAGGAAUACCCGGUGGGCGAAGGCGGCCCCCCUGGAACAAAGACUGAACGCUCCAGGUGCCAAAAGCCGUGGGGGAGCCAAACCAGGAUUAAAAUACCCCUGGUUAGUCCCACGCCUGAUAGAACGAUUGUCCUAUUUGGAGACGCUUGGUGCCCCUUUGAAGGGCGAUGGCCUUACCGGGAACCUAAACCCCGUUUAAAAUUCCGACCCGCCCUGGGGGGAAGUUACCGGCCCCGCUAAAGGUUUAAAGAACCUCCAAAAUGGAAAUUUGGACGGGGGCCCGCACAAGCGGUGGAGCAUGUGGUUUAAUUCGAUGCAACGCGAAGAACCUUACCUACUCUUGACAUCCAGAGAACUUAGCAGAGAUGCUUUGGUGCCUUCGGGAACUCUGAGACAGGUGCUGCAUGGCUGUCGUCAGCUCGUGUUGUGAAAUGUUGGGUUAAGUCCCGCAACGAGCGCAACCCUUAUCCUUUGUUGCCAGCGGUUCGGCCGGGAACUCAAAGGAGACUGCCAGUGAUAAACUGGAGGAAGGUGGGGAUGACGUCAAGUCAUCAUGGCCCUUACGAGUAGGGCUACACACGUGCUACAAUGGCGUAUACAAAGAGAAGCGACCUCGCGAGAGCAAGCGGACCUCAUAAAGUACGUCGUAGUCCGGAUUGGAGUCUGCAACUCGACUCCAUGAAGUCGGAAUCGCUAGUAAUCGUAGAUCAGAAUGCUACGGUGAAUACGUUCCCGGGCCUUGUACACACCGCCCGUCACACCAUGGGAGUGGGUUGCAAAAGAAGUAGGUAGCUUAACCUUCGGGAGGGCGCUACC